UACGUAGGGACCGAGCGUUGUCCGGAAUCAUUGGGCGUAAAGAGCGUGUAGGCGGCCACUUAAGUCCUGCGUGAAAUCUUGCGGCUCAACCGCAAGCGGUCGUGGGAAACUGGGUGGCUAGAGUGCGGGGAGAGGAGAGUGGGAAUUCCUGGUGUAGCGGUGGAAUGCGCAGAUAUCAGGAAGAACACCCGUGGCGAAGGCGGCUCUCUGGAACGCAACUGACGCUGAGACGCGAAAGCGUGGGGAGCAAACAGG
rnacentral:rRNA from 1 species